UACGUAGGGUGCAAGCGUUGUCCGGAAUUAUUGGGCGUAAAGAGUUCGUAGGCGGUUUGUCGCGUCGAAUGUGAAAACCCGGGGCUCAACCCCGGGCCUGCAUUCGAUACGGGCAGACUAGAGUUCGGUAGGGGAGUCUGGAAUUCCUGGUGUAGCGGUGAAAUGCGCAGAUAUCAGGAGGAACACCGGUGGCGAAGGCGGUUCUCUGGGCCUUACCUGACGCUGAGGAGCGAAAGCGUGGGGAGCAAACAGG
rnacentral:rRNA from 1 species